AUACGGAGGGUCCAAGCGUUAUCCGGAUUCAUUGGGUUUAAAGGGUCCGCAGGCGGGAAAAUAAGUCAGUGGUGAAAGCCUACAGCUCAACUGUAGAACUGCCAUUGAUACUGUUUUUCUUGAGUAUAGAUGAAGUGGGCGGAAUAUAUCAUGUAGCGGUGAAAUGCAUAGAUAUGAUAUAGAACACCGAUUGCGAAGGCAGCUCACUAAACUAUUACUGACGCUCAGGGACGAAAGCGUGGGGAGCGAACAGAAUUAGAAACCCCAGUAGUCC
rnacentral:rRNA from 1 species